GCGUAUGCAACUUACCCCGUACAGGGGAAUAGCCCGGAGAAAUCCGGAUUAAUACCCCAUAAUACUAUUUUAAGGCAUCUUUUUAUAGUUAAAAUUUCGAUGGUACGGGAUGGGCAUGCGUCCUAUUAGUUUGUUGGUGAGGUAAUAGCUCACCAAGACUAUGAUAGGUAGGGGUCCUGAGAGGGUAAACCCCCACACUGGUACUGAGACACGGACCAGACUCCUACGGGAGGCAGCAGUGAGGAAUAUUGCGCAAUGGACGAAAGUCUGACGCAGCCAUACCGCGUGCAGGAUGAAGGCCCUAUGGGUUGUAAACUGCUUUUAUAUGAGAAGAAACCUUUCUACGUGUAGAGAGCUGACGGUAUCAUAUGAAUAAGCACCGGCUAACUACGUGCCAGCAGCCGCGGUAAUACGUAGGGUGCGAGCGUUGUUCGGAAUUACUGGGCGUAAAGGGCGCGCAGGCGGAGGUGCAAGUCGGAGGUGAAAGCCCGGGGCUCAACCCCGGAGGGUCUUUCGAAACUGCAUCUCUAGAGAGGGUUAGGGGCCGGCAGAAUUCCUGGUGUAGAGGUGAAAUUCGUAGAUAUCAGGAGGAAUACCGGUGGCG
rnacentral:rRNA from 1 species